GGCCCCGUGGCGAAAUGGCAGACGCAGCGGACUUAAAAUCCGCAGUCCCUCAAAAGACGUGUGGGUUCGAGUCCCACCGGGGCCA
rnacentral:tRNA from 1 species